GAAAGGACAAAGACCGUAUGAUCCCACUCACAUGUGGCACCUAGAGUCAUCGGAUUCAUAGAGACGGAAGAUGGGAAACCUGGAGCUGAGAAGACAAAUCCAGCAGGAGCCAGAGGGGCCUCUGCUUUACUGGUCAGGAGAAAGCAGCCGCUCGAUUGCCGGUCUGCCCCAUCACACUGCAGAGCUCUGGGUCACCAGCCUAAACCACUUAAUGCACAUCACGCCCAGGUCUACUUGGAAAUGGCUAAGGCACUUAAAUGGAACGUCCAACCUUUGUCCUCAGUCCCCAGACCACAGGAACCCGGACUCCUGUCCUCACAGCUGGAACUUCCUCUGUGCACUAAUUGGAAAAACAUCCUCCGGGAAAU